rnacentral:rRNA from 1 species
UACGUAGGGGGCAAGCGUUGUCCGGAAUUAUUGGGCGUAAAGCGCGCGCAGGCGGUCAAUUAAGUCUGGUGUUUAAGGCUGUGGCUCAACCACAGUUCGCACUGGAAACUGGUUGACUUGAGUACAGAAGAGGAAAGUGGAAUUCCACGUGUAGCGGUGAAAUGCGUAGAGAUGUGGAGGAACACCAGUGGCGAAGGCGACUUUCUGGGCUGUAACUGACGCUGAGGCGCGAAAGCGUGGGGAGCAAACAGG